AAUUGCUUGUAGUCACCUUCACAAUGUUAUUGAAGUUCGAGCUGGGAUCUGAAUUCUGACUGAAGUUUGCGAAGGGUUUGGGAAAACGUGAGACUCACAAGAUUCGAAUACCCCCAGACACAAAGACCCCUUUCUGCAAUCUAUUUUUGAAUUCCAAGACACUGUGGUACAAGGAGGAAAAAGCCCUUCCAGCAGCCACUUGACAGAAGCAAUAAUAAAACACAAAGGGGGCACUGACUGAAUUAAUAUAUUAAAGGCAAAGGCUCAAAGUCUUCUGCUGAAAGGUGUUUUGUAGCAUUGCAG
rnacentral:lncRNA from 1 species